rnacentral:tRNA from 1 species
GCCGAAGUGGCGGAAUUGGUAGACGCGCACGAUUCAGGGUCGUGUGCCUCACGGCGUGUGGGUUCGAGUCCCACCUUCGGCA